UUCAAGUAUAUGAAGGGCAUUUGAUGGAUGCCUUGGCACUAGGAGGCGAUGAAGGACGUGAAAGGCUGCGAUAAGCCGCGGGGAGCCGCCAAUAGGCUUUGAUCCGUGGAUCUCCGAAUGGGGAAACCCAACGCGAAUGCGUUAUUAAACACUGAAUACAUAGGUGUUUAAAGCGAACCUUGGGAACUGAAACAUCUAAGUACCAAGAGGAAAGGACAUCAACCGAGACUCCGUUAGUAGUGGCGAGCGAACGCGGACCAGGCCAGUGGCUUUUUAAGAAUAACCAGAACUGUUUGGAAAAGCAGGCAAUAAUAGGUGAUAGCCCCGUAUGGGUAAAAACUUAAAAAGUCCUUGAGUAAGGCGGGACACGUGAAAUCCUGUCUGAACAUGGGGGGACCACCCUCCAAGCCUAAGUACUCCCUAGUGACCGAUAGCGUACAAGUACCGUGAGGGAAAGGUGAAAAGAACCCCGACAAGGGGAGUGAAAUAGAAUCUGAAAUCGAAUGCCUACAAGCAGCGGGAGCUCCUUUAUGGAGUGACCGCGUACCUUUUGUAUAAUGGGUCAACGAGUUAAUCUCUGUAGCAAGCUUAAGCCGUUAGGUGUAGGCGUAGCGAAAGCGAGUCUGAAUAGGGCGUUGAGUUACUGGGAUUAGACCCGAAACCGAGUGAUCUAGUCAUGAGCAGGCUGAAGGUGCGGUAACACGCACUGGAGGGCCGAACCCACAUCUGUUGCAAUAGAUGGGGAUGACUUGUGACUAGGGGUGAAAGGCCAAUCAAACUCGGAAAUAGCUGGUUCUCCGCGAAAUCUAUUUAGGUAGAGCGUCGUAUAUAACCAUCGGGGGUAGAGCACUGGAUGGGCUAGGGGGGAGCGAUCCUUACCAAACCUAACCAAACUCCGAAUACCGAUGAGUUCAGUACGGCAGACAGACGGUCGGUGCUAAGGUCGAUCGUCAAGAGGGAAACAGCCCUGACCGCCAGCUAAGGUCCCCAAGUCAUGGCUAAGUGGGAAAGGAUGUGGGAAGGCCAAGACAGCCAGGAGGUUGGCUUAGAAGCAGCCAUCCUUUAAAGAAAGCGUAAUAGCUCACUGGUCUAGUUAAGCUAGCCUGCGCCGAAAAUGUAUCGGGGCUAAAGCCAUGCACCGAAGCUGCGGGUGUCAAUGCGUAAGCGUUGACGCGGUAGCGGAGCGUUCCGUAAGCCUGUGAAGGUGGACUCGUGAGAGCCGCUGGAGGUAUCGGAAGUGCGAAUGUUGACAUAAGUAGCGUUAAAGGAUUGUGAGAGACAAUCCCGCCGAAAGUCCAAGGGUUCCUGCGCAAGGUUAAUCCGCGCAGGGUGAGCCGGCCCCUAAGGCGAGGCCGAAAGGCGUAGUCGAUGGGAAUCAGGUUAAUAUUCCUGAGCCUGCUGGAAGUGACGGAUCUCGUGUGUUGUCUGAUCUUAUUGGAUUGAUCAGGCAGCGAAGAGGUUCCAGGAAAUAGCUCCAGCGUAUAAGACCGUACCCCAAACCGACACGGGUGGACUGGUAGAGUAUACCAAGGCGAUUGAGCGAAUGAUGUUGAAGGAACUCGGCAAAUUUCUCCUGUAACUUCGGAAGAAGGGAGACCCCUUUAUGGGCAACCAUGGAGGGGUGGCACAGAAUUGGGGGUAGCGACUGUUUAACAAAAACACAGGACUAUGCAAAGUCGUAAGACGAAGUAUAUGGUCUGACGCCUGCCCGGUGCUGGAAGGUUAAGAGGAGGGGUGCAAGCUCUGAAUCGAAGCCCCAGUAAACGGCGGCCGUAACUAUAACGGUCCUAAGGUAGCGAAAUUCCUUGUCGGGUAAGUUCCGACCCGCACGAAUGGCGUAACGACUGCCCCACUGUCUCCAACAUCACCUCAGCGAAAUUGAACUCUCCGUGAAGAUGCGGAGUUCCCGUGGUUAGACGGAAAGACCCCGUGCACCUUUACUAUAGCUUUGCAGUGGUAUUAGGAAUGACAUGUGUAGGAUAGGUGGGAGCCUUUGAAGCUUUGGCGCCAGCCGGAGUGGAGGCAACCUUGAAAUACCACCCUUGUUAUUCUUGAUAUCUAACCAAGCCCUGUUAUCCAGGGCUGGGACCCUGCAUGGUGGGUAGUUUGACUGGGGCGGUCGCCUCCCAAAGAGUAACGGAGGCGCGCAAUGGUAGGCUCAAGUUGGUCGGAAAUCAACUGUUGAGUGCAAUGGCAUAAGCCUGCCUGACUGCGAGACUGACAAGUCGAGCAGAGACGAAAGUCGGUCAUAGUGAUCCGGUGGUCCCUCGUGGAAGGGCCAUCGCUCAACGGAUAAAAGGUACGCCGGGGAUAACAGGCUGAUCUCCCCCAAGAGUUCACAUCGACGGGGAGGUUUGGCACCUCGAUGUCGGCUCAUCACAUCCUGGGGCUGAAGCAGGUCCCAAGGGUUUGGCUGUUCGCCAAUUAAAGUGGUACGUGAGCUGGGUUCAGAACGUCGUGAGACAGUUCGGUUCCUAUCUGCCAUGGGUGUUGGAAAAUUGAGAGGAGCUGUCCUUAGUACGAGAGGACCGGGAUGGACGCACCUCUGGUGUACCGGUUGUCGCGCCAGCGGCAGCGCCGGGUAGCUAUGUGCGGAAGAGAUAACCGCUGAAAGCAUCUAAGCGGGAAACUCUCCUCAAAACUAGUUUUCCCUAUGAGAGUCGUGGAAGACCACCACGUUGAUAGGCUCGGUGUGGAAGCGCGGUAACGCGUGAAGCUAACGAGUACUAAUCGCUCCAUUGGCUUGAAUAUACACAGA
rnacentral:rRNA from 1 species